rnacentral:lncRNA from 1 species
AUGGAUCUAUUUUAAUAUUUUACUUGAUUUUCAAGAUAUCACUAUGAAGAGCCUGUGAUUUUAUAUGAUUUUUGGAUCACAUGCAGAACCAUCUGAAGAGUCCCAGUUUGUUUCUGUUGACUGGACAAGAAGCAAUGAAGCCUGUGCAAUAGAGAAAAAAAUGGAGAUUGGCAUAUAAACACAUAUCAGCAUUUAUCAAGGCCGGUGGAGAAGAGAUAUCUUCUGAUCUAUAAAGCCUAGCCCUGUAUUUGUGAAUGAGUUAGUUACAUGGCUUUUGGUGAAGCAGGAUAUUUCCCUGACCCCUUUGUGGGAUUCGUGACCAGAGUGUGUUUACUCAGCCCGUCACUCUCAACUCCUCACGGGAGGGAGUGCAUAAGCAAGUAAGAUGGGAACUGGAGUGCACGAGCAUUGGAACUGAACAGCUGCUUCAGCACUGGCAGGAGCAAACUUCCCGCAGCAGCAUCCAGGCUUCCUAUCACUUUGUUACAUGAAGAGGCAUCUUCAAAGAGCAAACUGAUACAACUUUAAAUUGAAAAGGAUAAAGUUUGAAAUGAAAUAUUUGUCCAAAGAUUUGUUGUGUUUUGCAAGGUAAAACAGCUCAAUUCUAUCCUGACCUUUGGUUGCAUUUCUAGAUAAUUUUAUAGGCACCUUCAAAUUCAGAUAUCCUAAGAUUUAAAUAAUGCUAGAUUUAUAGCUCUUAUAUGACAAUUUUUACCAAAAAAAGCUCUUUAAAAUUACUUAAAUUUACAUUAAAAGCUGAUAUUCUGAAAUUUUAUUCCAACUAGACUGCAUUAGUCAGGGUUCUUUAGAGAAAGAACCAAUAUAAACAGAUAGAAAGAAGGUAGAUAGAUAGAUACAGGUAGAUGAUAGAUAGAUGAUAGAUAGAUAGAUAGAUAGAUAGAUAGAUAGAUAGAUAAAGAGGGAAUUUAUUAGGGGAAUUGCCUCACAGGAUUAUGGAAACUGACAGACCACACAAUAGGUCAUCUGCAAGCUGGAAAACCGGGGAAGCUGGUAGUGUGGCCAUUUUCUGUGGGGCAGGGGAAAUAAAUUAAUUAACCAGCAAUUUAAAUUAUCUUCUCCCUGUAGUCUAUGCUCCUGAUAAUUAACAGGUGACAUCUUAUGGGAUAAAUAAUAUUGUUUACUGAUAUCCAAUCUCCCAUUAAAAUAUUCACAAUUGAUAUAGUAAAAUAAUCAGUAAAAUCAUUUAUUUCCCAUUUAAAAUAGUUAAAAUAAGUAGUACUUGAUAUCUUUUAAAACUGCACUGGAUAAAUUAUAUUUCAUUCCAAUCCCAAAGCAUUGGCAAAAUUUUCUGGCAGCAUUAUUUUGAGAAGACCAUGAAACUUUUCUUCACUCAAUAUAACAGAACAACAUGAUAGAAGUGAUUGCUAUCUUUCCAAAAUAAAAGAAAAAAAUGAAAUCAAUUCAACUAUCAGGAGUUCAUGGUUAAAAAAUGAAACUAAAAUAUCACUACAAAUGGCAGCCUAUCCUUUGAUUAUAUGUUAUUUGCCCAAUUGCUUGUAUAUUAAAACUUGCCACAUAAGAAAUUGAUAAUAAUUAAGUGUUUUCUGUAAAGCUGCAAUCUAUAGUAGCAUAUUCUUAAAUAUUGGUUUUAUGCUAUACUAUGAGUUCUGCAAGGAGUGAGAUAAAAACAUGUCACUGAAACACUAGGGAUUUGGUCUAGGUCCUGUUGCUCACAGCAAAGAAUGCCAGUUGCUGAGAUGGACUUUGCCAAGGAAGAAGGAUUUAUUCGGGUGCUGCAGCUGAGGAGAUGAGAUCAGUCUCAAAUCUAUCUCUCUGAUUAACUAAAAUUAGAGAUUUAUAUAGCAGGGAAGAAAUGUAACUAUGUGUGGAAUAACAGGAACUCAGAAAGGGUAUGGAAGCAAUCAUGAUGAAUGAGGGGCCUGCCAUCUUAUUGUCUGGAUAUGGUUUUAGUUCUCUGAUACUUUUAAAGAGGCCUGGGGGUCCAUUCCUGAGAAAUAAACUCAGAUAAAACAAAUGUAAGUUUCAGGGUCAAUUUCUUUUCUUCUCUCUUUUUUUUUUUUUAGAUUGGGUCUCCUUCUGUCACCCAGGCUGUAGUGCUGUGGUUCGAUCUUAGCUCACUGCAACCUCUGCCUCUCAGGCUGAAGCCAUCCUCCCACCUGGGCCUCCCCAAUAGCUGGGACUUACAGGUACAUGCCAGACACCAAGUUAAUUUUUUUUUUUUUGUAUUUUUUGUAGAGAUGAAGUUUUGCUAUGUUGCUCAGGCUGGUCUCCAACUUCUG